GACAGAGGGUGCAAACGUUGUUCGGAAUUACUGGGCGUAAAGCGCGUGUAGGCGGCUAUGCACGUCGGAUGUGAAAGCCCUCGGCUCAACCGGGGAAGUGCACCCGAAACUGCAAAGCUAGAGUCUCGGAGAGGAUCGUGGAAUUCUCGGUGUAGAGGUGAAAUUCGUAGAUAUCGAGAGGAACACCUGAGGUGAAGACGGGUUGCUGGGCCGACACUGACGCUGAGUGCGCGAAAGCCAGGGGAGCAAACGGG
rnacentral:rRNA from 1 species